GCCAGACAGCCCAGCGCGGUCGGACGAGCAGCUUUCCCGGCUUGGCUCCGGGGCCCCUCCUGCUGCGCUCGCUCCUCCCGGCGACCUUCGGGCCUAGCUGCAAACCUGCCUCCCAGAAACGAAAUCUGCCCGCUCUGACAGCUCGGUUGAAGGUGAUUGAUGACUAUCUGGAGACCACAGUACGCAUCAUAUAAUAUCUGCUGCGUAAUUGCUUUAAUUUACAGAUGAAAGUACGAGUUCUCCGAUCCUGUUGGACCGCAGCCGGCCACGUCCGAGCUGCUUGCAAGGAAAAUCAUCGGAAAUAAUGAAUAGACGCUCCAUGCAAAUUAUUCAGACAGCUUAGCGUCUGUAGCCGGGAGAGAUAUAUAAAGAACACGAGUCAAAUGACAUUAAUAAUU